UACGUAGGGGGCAAGCGUUAUCCGGAUUUACUGGGUGUAAAGGGAGCGUAGACGGCAGCGCAAGUCUGGAGUGAAAUCCCAUGGCUUAACCAUGGAACUGCUUUGGAAACUGUGCAGCUAGAGUGCAGGAGAGGUAAGCGGAAUUCCUAGUGUAGCGGUGAAAUGCGUAGAUAUUAGGAGGAACACCAGUGGCGAAGGCGGCUUACUGGACUGUAACUGACG
rnacentral:rRNA from 1 species